UACGUAGGGUGCAAGCGUUGUCCGGAAUUAUUGGGCGUAAAGAGCUCGUAGGUGGCCUGUCGCGUCGGCUGUGAAAACUCGGGGCUCAACUCCGAGCUUGCAGUCGAUACGGGCAGGCUAGAGUUCGGCAGGGGAGACUGGAAUUCCCAGUGUAGCGGUGAAAUGCGUAGAUAUUGGGAAGAACACCUGAGGCGAAGGCGGGAUGCUGGGCCGACACUGACGCUGAGGCGCGAAAGCCAGGGGAGCAAACGGG
rnacentral:rRNA from 1 species